rnacentral:lncRNA from 1 species
UGAUGAUCGCCUGGUUUUGGGUUGCUGAGGUUCAGGUUUUGCUACGUGGCACAAGAGAUCUAUAUGAGCAUUUUUUGUAUGAUGAAGGAGUAUGAGUGAUGUAUCAACCAUUUGAGCAGUAGAGUUGGGAUCGGAUAUGGAGAUUUCGUUAUUCUUGAGGUUUAAAGGCUGGAUGUUCUCACGGGCAGACUAUUCUUUAGUUACAGACUGUGAAGAUAUGCUAAGAAUUAGAUUGCUGAUGGCAUAUGUUAUGGAUAGGUUGCUAUAGACUUUUGGAAGGUUAUAUACCUGUUUGGGAAUAAUCGAAAUUGGUUCGAGGGAUAUUUGUGAGCCUAAUGAGAAUGUGUUGUUAUAGUACCUCUAUAACUUUAAUUAAUCAAACAAUUAACUUUCAUAAUUUAAUAGACGAGUAUUAUAAUUAUUAGGAUAAUUUAAAGCUAGCCUACAAUAAUUAAUUAAUAAUACAUUUGUAAUUAUAUGUUAUUGGGAUUAAAUUAGUUUAAUUAAUUUAAUUAUAAAAGGGGGUUAAAACUUAAAAUAGGCUACAAUUGCAAUUGAUUGAUUUAAUUAAAGUGGCCAUGAUUUAGAUUCCCAUUCCAGCCUAAUACCCAAUUAAUUGUCCCACAAAUACUGACCCAAUAACCCUGACCUGGUUCAACAGCCCACUACCCGUCCUACUUGGCAAUCCUCGCCACUCAUUCUCCACCAAUAAUAUGAUGCCACGUCACCUCCUUAAAUCGCUCACAUAAUAAACAAAUUCCAUCUGGACCGUUGAUCAAAUUCAUCAACGGUCCAAAAUUAUUUGCAAAUCCUCUUUAAUGUUAAAUCCCCCAACGCAUUUAUCUCUACCGUUGGAUCAAAAUGAUCCAUGGGCCCCUGAUUUAUCCCCACUAAAUAUUUUCUUCCCUUUUUUAUCUCCAAAAAUCUGGAGACGUUGAUCUAAAUGAUCCAGCGGCUCCCAUACUAUCUCCCAUUUUUAACUAAGCCCACCCCCAAACCCUAGAGACAUUUCGUCUCAUCCACGGCCUUUAUUUCCUCUUCUUAUCUCUUUUCUCUCAUUCUCAACCCACCCUGCCAUUACUAAACCUUGCACAAGUGCAAGGUCACUGAAGAUGAUCAAGGCUCAUCAUUUCCCUCACAUGUUAGCCGCAAAUCCUGUUGAGUAUUCCUUUUUCGCUCACCCAAUUUUGAAUUUCAAGCCCCGAAACCUUACACCAAAAUGUAAAAGAGUAAGAAUCUCAUUUUCUUCCUCUGCUUGUUCAAUCGUCACAUGCAGCCAUGGAUUCAUUAGAAUCUUGACCGCAUCAUGAUGGUCGGUGGUCCAGAGGUCAAACGCAAUGACCUCUAGAUAUUGGCUUUGCCCGGCGGUCCGAUUGGUUUCAACGGCUAGUUCACUCAUUGUUUUAGGGAGGUAAAAAUCUUUACCCCUUUUCCCUUCCUGAUUUCGUCACUUCUCAGUCAUCAGUGCUCAUCAUCAUCUCACAGAUUUUCAAAAUUUGAGUGAAAUCCUAAGUCUCAAUUGUAGCUAUAAAUAGAGGGUUUUAAUGCCCUCACCAAACACACGAACUACCAUAGGAAGCCUAGUAAAUGCUCUCUUCUUAAAUACUUAAAAAACUUUCUCUAAUCUCCUUUCUUUAUUUUCAAUUUUUGCUCGAGUGCAACUACUGAGAAUUGAUUGUGAACUUUAGUUCCUAAACGGCUAAGAAUGGUUACUUGGUUUGUUGCCUCGAAGAAUGUCAGUGGACCACUGAUCUCCCUUUAAUUAUUCAUUCAUUUCAUAUAUUAUCAUGUUGUCUCGUUUGUCUGGUGUUUUUUGUUAAUUGCUUGCCUAUGCUUCAUCGUGAUACUCAUCAGCCAAGCAUGAAACUUUCAAUUGUGUUCUGCUGCUUGUGUUAUUUUUCACUUAAUCAACUGAUACUCCCUGCUAAUAGUUAUGUUUAUCCCCUAUGUUGUUUAAAUCAGUAUUUUCUGGUGAUCAUUGAAUUUUGUUUCUCAUACCUAUAUUAUCAUGGUAUAUUGCUUAACUAAUUGAAUGAUUUUCAUGCUUAUAUUAUUGUGUUGUGUUGUCUAAUUGAGUGAUCCUUGUUGACAGUCAUCACCAUGUUAAUCUGCUUAACUAAUUGAAUGCCCCUCACUGAUAGUCAUGCCUAUGUUAUCAUGUUGAUCUGCUUAGUUAAUCAAAUAGGUCCAGUUGACAGUCAUGCUUAUUGUACCCCAUUGUUCUAUUCAGAAUGAUCUAUGUUACAAGACAUGUUUGUUUAUCAUGAUAACUUGAAUAUGACAAACUUGUCUACCUAGCUUGGCAUGUUUAUACUUUAGAGCUUAAUAUGUGACCCGGUUUGCUUGAAUAAACAAAAAAAUGCUGAUUUACAAUUCCAUGUCUACCUAGCUUGACAGUCAUGCUUAUUGUACCCCAUUGUUCUAUUCAGAAUGAUCUAUGUUACAAGACAUGUUUGUUUAUCAUGAUAACUUGAAUAUGACAAACUUGUCUACCUAGCUUGGCAUGUUUAUACUUUAGAGCUUAAUAUGUGACCCGGUUUGCUUGAAUAAACAAAAAAAUGCUGAUUUACAAUUCCAUGUCUAUUUUGCCUUGUUUAAUUGUAACAAGUAUUCUUGUCAUCUUAUGACCAUUUGAUAUUUGAGGACACUGUCCAUAAGAUCUUUAUGUAAUGUGGUUAAGCACUAUUGGUCUUGGUAGUUUGAAUAAGUAUUAUUCAUUCUCAAUGUGCACUAUCAUGUUUAGAUGCCAUGCCUACAUAAUUGACCCUCCUAUUCAUGCUUAAUGUCCCAAUUCUGAGUAAGGUGAUCAGCCUGGGUUGUUAAGCAUGUAGUGAGAUCUACACCUAUGUGUUUGUUUGUUGUUGAAGGAGUGUCCUAAGGAUGUUCUGGGCCUUAAUAACUUACUUUGAUAAUCUAAACUUGCUUCAAAGGAACCCUGUCUGAUUAAAUCCUUAUGAACCAUUAGACCUUUGAUGAGAUUCAGUAAAUAAGUGGGUGCAUUUGUCUUUUGUUCACUGUUGCCUUAAACCACCUGGAGAAGCAUUCAUGAAGUUGAAGUUGUUAUUAGCACAACAAGCUUGCUCUAUAGGGGCAUAUAGUUGAUCACUUGUGCUUUGUAACCCGUUAUUGAUUCUGUAUGUUUACCGCAGUGAUACCUAAGAAUAUUCUGUAGAUGUUGUGCCAUAUGGAAUGGUUCAGAAUCAACCUCUAAGCUCUUGAAACUGUUAAAAACUUUUGAGAACUUAAAUGUGGUAAUUUAUACUUGUAUCAUGUGUUCUGACUUCUGAUAAUAAUCACUGUUUAAAACUCAAGCAUGUGCUACUCCUUGACUAUUUAGGGCAUUAUACUCAAGUGAUUGCUUCAAUUCCUAGAAUGAUUGUCUGUUCUUAAAAUUAUUGGUGCCCCUAUAUGAUUGAGUUUUCUUGAAAUAUGUCACGCCUAGAUGGAUUAAGAUAUCAUAUGGAACCUUAUGUGCUUCUGCUAGUUUGUUUCAUAUUGAUUGCGUGAGACUGCCUGGGCACCUGUUUGGUUGAAUGCUAAGAUAGGAUUUCUUAUGUGCCUAAACCUCUAUAGAAGAAUGAGGUUCAAUGCUUAAGGGUGUUUGGUGUGGGCUUGACUUUACUGUUAAGGAACCCCUCCCUGACACAAGCAUUGCUCGGGGUCCAAGAGACCCUCGUGAAAUCUGGGUCCAUAGGGGAUCCUUAUAAGUGUGGUUCACUCUAAGCCCAUAAUCAUUGGCCUUAAUUAAUCUUCAGGGGAUUAUCAUAAUUAAAAUUUGGCAUAAUCUGUUCACUCUACAUCAUAUUUAUGCUCAUUUUUAUUCUUUUAUGAUUCUGCCUUUAUUUUUUCUAUGCACAAAUGCUAAUUGAUUCUUUCUCUUUUUCUUUGCAUGAAUACUGGACCUGCUGAGUUCAUUGAAAACCCAUACCCAAAUUCAAUGAACUGGGUUGCCUCCUUUGUCAUCCGUUGAAGCCUGCUGCAGUUUUGAGCUUAGUUCGGCCUGACUAAUUGUCAGUCCAGCACAAGAGUCCAGCCACUUUUCCUUAUAUGAAAUUAUUAUUAUUACUAUUGUCCCGUUCUUUGUAUAUGUCCUUGUGGAACUGACAUUGGUAUUGAAUAUUUGUUUUGUCUUGAUUAUUUAGGAAAGACUUUAGGUAGAUCAAACCUAAUAAGGUAAAAGGUAACUUUCACCGAAAAGAUUACUCGCUUUAAUAAUGUCAACAUUUUUUUGGAAUCUGACUGCUUUUAAACUAAUUGUUUAGAAACUAAUGUUUCUUCUUUUGCAUACCCUUUUUCAAAUGAGUUUCGUUUGUUAUUAGCAUUGAUAGAAUUUGAAUGAGUUUAAACUGAAACAAUCUUUUUGGAAAGAAUUUUCAAACGGAUAACUUAGGUGUCACGAUCCAAAAUUUACCUAGUCGUGAUGACACCUAACUCAAUCCGUCGGGUAAGUCAAUUAACAACUAUCUAAUUUAGAUGAGAUUUAUUAAGAAAAGAAAGGAUAAUAAAACUAUUUUUAUACAAGAAUUUUUAAGGACUGGUAGUACAAAUCAUGAGCUUCUAAGAUUAGAAGUUAUAAAGCUGGUAUGAAAUAAGUACAUGUACAUAAAUAGAUUUUUAUAAAUUUAAGGCUACCAUGAACAAGAGGCAGCUACUAACAGAACGCAGGUACGUCUUCAAAUUGAUCAUAGCAACAUCAACAUCUAAUAUUUGCACGCAAGGUGCAGAAGUGUAGUAUGAGUACAAUCGACCCCAUGUACUAAAUAAGUAACAAACCUAACUUUAGGUUGAAAGUAGUGACGAGCUGGAAUACAGGUCAAAGUCCAACACUGAUAGCCAACAACGGCUCAUAACAAUAUAAUAAAAGUGGUGCAGGAAAUAACUCAGAAAUAAGAUGUUCAGCUCGUUCACAGUUUCAGAAAAUAGACAUGUUUUUCAGGUAUAACAGUAAAAACUCAAAUCUUUUACCGAAAAUACCAAAAUAUGAGUAAGUUUAUAAAAUUGUGAUUUUCCUUCCAAAACUUUUCAACAGGUAAAUGUUUCAAUAUCAAAUGGCAUGAGGAAAAGUAUAUCUCUAUGCCUGCAUGUCAAUGUGUAUGAGAAGUCAUGAAUGAAAUGAUACCGUGCAACAUGAGGAAAAAUGCGUCUCUAUGCUUGUAUGUCAAGUGUGCAUGUCAAUGCAGUACAACAUAGUGAACAACCAUAUGCAUACUCUCAAAGUAUUAAUCCACUUAGUCCUCCCAAUCACUCGGCACUCUCACUCACACUCAAUAGGUACAUGCGCACACUGGGGGUGUGUGCAGACUCCGGAGGGGCUCCUUCAGCUCAGCGCUAUAAUCUGCACGGACAACUCAUGUGCUACACGGACAACUCACGUGCUAUAGUAUCAAUAUCUGGAUCCGCACGGACAACUCACGUGCCAUAGUAUAAAUAUCUGGAUCUGCACGAACAACUCAUGUGCUGCACGGACAACUCACAUGCCAUAGUGUCAAUAACUUCACAAUCAGGCCCUCGGCCUCACUCAGUUAUCAAUCUCUCCAGUCUCUCGGGCCCACAAUGCCAUGAAACUAGCCCAACAAUGAUGAUAUGAUGUGUUAAUAUAUAGCAACAGAGACUGAGAUAUGAUAUGAAAUGAAUGAAUAUGACUGAGUAUAUAAUUAUAAUUUAAACAUAUAAUUCGACAUGAGAAAUGACCUUAGUGGGUCCACAAUAAUACCAGCAUUUGCCUAAGCAUAAUCUCUAACACGAGUCACAACUCAGUUUCUCUAACACAUAAAAAUACAUGAAAAAAUACAAGUUAAUUGACUAUACAGCUCUACGGAAUCAACUGAGUCUCAAUUCUACGGUGCACACCCACACGCCCGUCAUCUAGCAUGUGCGUCACCUCCAAACAAUUCACAUAAUACGUAUAAUCAAGGUUCAUAUCCUCAGCUCCAAGUUUAGAAGAGUUACUUACCUCGAACAAGCCGAGUCCAAUAUCGAGCAAGCUAAACAAUGCUCCAGAAAUUCCAUUCCGCGCUUAUCAACUUCCGAAUGGCUCGAAUCUAGUCACAAUUAAUUCGAUUCAGUCAACACAAAUUGUACGUGACAGCUUGGUAUCAGAGCGUUAGUUUCACUUAGGUCUCACGAGUCAUGAGCAAGUCUAGCAGAGUCUUGCGGAUCGGUACGGAGACGUCUGUACUUAUCUUCGAGAGGCUACAGGGCUGUUAGGAGUACUUCCCUUCUUGAUUUCCUCAUCGUGCGGUUUGAUUUCAUUGAGGCUUGUGCCUUUAUUUCCUUCCUACUCAAUCUUAUACGACGCGAAGCGCUGUUAUGAAUUGGGCAUCGAGGAGUUGUAGUGGUACUGCAGACGUGGUGCAUGAUGUUUUUCUCUGCGUGUUCGGGCAGGCUAUUGUCGUCUCCUUGCAGAAGGAUGUUCUUUUGAUCCAGCUCAGUAUCUGUAUUUUCUAUGAUUUCGAGACUGUGCACGGAUUACUAUGAUGUCUAUGAGUGGUUAUCGCAUAAUGUUGGUGUAAUUGGUAAUGUGUCGAGGCAGAGAAUGACUCGAAAGGAGGAUUUCUCAGUGCAUGAUUUAGAGGUUCAACAUUUAAUUCCAGCAAAGGAAAGGCAAUCAGACUAUGGAUAUUCAGGUUUUGGUCGAUGGAGUAACGAGACUUGGUAUUUUCGAGCGUGGUGGAAUUUUCAUUGUGAUGCGGUAUCAUCAUCCUUGUUUAAAUGCAUUAUGGUUCGUCGGUGUUAUGGUCUCCUUUGAGUUUGCCUUCGGGGCAGAGUGUUGCGAAAUGGAGCUUGAGGGGCGGUUAUCAGAGAUAGUGGUGUGCAGUGGUUCAGAAUCAAAUUAGUAUUUCUAAUGUUGAUGGCUCGAGAGAGAUGAUCUUCGAAGAGGCUUAGAGUCGGUAACAAUUUAUUGGUUCAGGUGCUACAGAGAUGGAUUUUGAUUUUGAUGCAACAUUUGGGCAGCAAAGUAUGAGGGAGGACAUGGCGGGAAGUGCUUCGCGGUAGUUGAAGUACCAGCAGGUCAAGUAUGAAAAGCAGAGAUUGAGAAUUUGCUUAAAGGAGAUGGUUUAACCGAAGUAAGAAUGGCAGAUUAGCAUAUGGAUUCUGUGGUAGGAUAGUCGCGUUCCUUGAGAAAGUGGAGAACGGUUUGGGAAUAGUGAUGGAAGGUGAUUUGGCCUACGGAUUUUAUUUGGAAUGGUGGUCAUUGUACGAAGAAAGAUUGAAUAUGGAAGAAAAGAGCUUUCUUGAAAUGAAAAGGGGUGUGAAGAUUUGAUUAUCGUUUUAGAUGCAAUAUGACUUGACUUCGUAAGGUAUUGUUUAACUUUCAGUUGAUGUCAAUAGGGAAGGAGCAGACUUAUACAGCUGGUGGGCGAGCAUGAGGUCAGGAGGAUUUAGUGAUUAUGUGGUAGUUGUACCCCGUGCAGCAUCGUUGGAAGAUGUCGGUAAGGAAUUCCACAUGUGGAUUAUCUCCUGUGAACAGGUUAGAUACUACUUGCUAGCCGGUAAGAGGCUGAAUAUGUGAUUGUGACUAAUGAUUCAGAAGGUUCAUGAAAAGUUUAACAAGAGAUUUUGAGAAAUUUGGCGAGUUAUCGGUGCAAGAUCAUGGUAAUUGAGAAGGAGAAAUCUUUGUGGGUUCUAGGUUUAUGUAAUUGUAGCUUAAAACUAAGUGGGGGAGCCCCACCGCCUACGAUUGGAUCGCGUGGUUGUCUGCUUGUGCAGUUUCUGAUUAUCGAUGCAUUGAUGGAUCAAUUAUGACUAAGAAAAAGAAAACAUCUGGGGUAAUUCAAGCAAAGAACUUGAUGAAUAUGUGCUAUAGUUCGCCUUAUCGAUUCAUGUGCAGGUUUUGGGAAGACUCAGAGUUUAUACUUCUUGCGGAUGUGAUUCAUCUGGUUGCUUCUUUGUGAGUGUUCAUGUGCUAACAGAGUGUUAGAGCUUGGUUAUAUUCAGAAUCAAGUCAGAGUGGGUGACUCUCAACAACGGACCUAGUGGGUUCAAGAAUUUAAAGUGCAGUGCCUAAAGGUUUCGGGUCCGUGGUGUGGUUAAGGAUCGAGUUUUCACAGUGGAUUACGAGCGGGGUUUGGAAUAUUCUAUGUUAUCAUCGGGUAUGCGGUGCAGUAUUGGGGGAAAGGAAGAAAUAGCUUCGGAUUCGCGGAUGGUCUUGCAGAAUGGGUGUACCAGUUGGAGAUGUUAUUGUGCACAUAAAGAGGGUAUGAGAUGGUUCAUGAGUAUUGAGACGAUGUGGUCUCGUGACACGGGUCACUCAGGACGAGUGCAGAUUGAGUUCGUUAUGUUGUAAAUAGAGCUAUUAUUUGUAAGAUAGGUCAAGAGUAAAUUGAAAGAAGUUGGGUCGGUUAGUAAUGGUUGAAUCAGCAUGAUUGUGGCAAAGAUCAGUUCCUUAAGCGUGUGAAGUUAUAAAUGUGGUUUGUGGUUGUACGCGCGGGCUUGACAACCACCACAACUUGAUUGAUUUGGGAGGUAUUUCAUUCAAAUGGCCUUGUGGUGUAAAUGGACUCCGGAGGACUCAUGGUGGUUCAGAUCAUGACUUGAGGUUUGUAUUUUCUGUGGUUUGGGAAUUCAGUUGCGUGUUGCAUUGGCUCUUCUGAAAUGAGCGGAGUGAAAGGUUUCUAGCCAAUGAAGUGUUUAUUCUGCUAGUAGUUCAGUGGUUAUGAUGGAUUCUUGUAUUCUCGCGUAGCGGCAUGAUAGGUGCAGUGAGCAGCAUGGGAAUUUGAAAGUUGAGGAUCAAGGUUGCGGUUCGGUGUCGACAAGAAUGUCACGAGUUCGGAUGAGCAAGGGUAAAUUCAGAUGUUCAGAGUAAGCUGGCAUUUUCUUUAGUGUCACCUGAGAACGGUGUCUUGUGUAAGAGGCUUUGUGUAUUGAAUUGCUUUACAGAUUAGUACGGUUGGUGGUAUGGAGGUGCAGGCUUUUCUACCUGGUACGGAAGUUCGUGUGAGAGUAUCCCAUGGGGAAAUCUAUAUAAGUGUGGCAUGUUAGUCACUUGAUUGUUAAAGAUUGAAAUCAAGCAUGGAGAUUAUCGUACCAUCGUUAAAUGUGAGAGUUCAUGCCUGGAAGGCGCUCUAUUCCUUUGGUUGUGAACUGUGGGAGUUGUUUCGGAUUGAGACGGUUUAAUUAUUCGCACAUGUGUUGAGGUCUCGUGUAGCUUGUGGUGUUAUAUGAGCAGGAUGACUCUUGAGAUGCAGGUCAUUUAUCGCGCCUUAGUUGUGCUUGGGUUUUGUGGCGUAUUGCGCUAUCUGUCUCCCUAGAGUUGUAUUUUUGCACUUAGCGUGCUUAUGGCCGAUAUUCGGUACUCCUUAGGUAGAAGCAUUAUGGCUUAAUGAGUAUGUCCUUGUUUAUUUUUAUGAGUGGAUCAGGUGGCACGCCGCCACGGGUACAUUAUUUGGAUCGGGUUGCACGCUGCAACGGUAUCAUGAUUGGAUCAGGUUGCACGCCGCAACCGUAUUAUGUUGAGUAUGGUUCCCUAUAUCUAUUCCUGCAUAUUUUGUUUCUCAUCCUUUGAGAAGGGUUCAUAACAUCUGUUCGACCAUUUUAUUCGUUACGUGGGUUGGGUAAUUCUUUUCCAAAAUUCGUUUCUCCUUAUGAGUCAUAUUCGAGUUGUAGCUUGCCGGCGCAUUGAUGGAGUCAUAUGGGAUCUGAGACAGUGUUUGAGAUGUCUUAUUACCUGAGCAGCUUGUACUGGGUGAGACGAGAUUAUUGGACCUGAAAUUUGUGCAAACAAAUUUAUACAAAGUACAUUAAAGGGAAAAUAUCGUCAUUCAGUUCAGAAUGAGGUAAUGGUUCUUGUCAGGAGGAGAGACUCCAUGAAUUAUUGAUUCGGCAGGUGGUUAUGAGUUUCUACACGUCUCUCUCGUCAUGGAAGUAUUGCGAGAGUUGGAACAGGAUUUAUAUACGUCAUGAGAUGUAUUGCGGGCAUUAGAUUUGUGAAGUUUCAGCUAUUGUGGUCGGAGGAUUUUAUUAUGGGCAUGUGAAUUAUGCGGGGCAUGGUGUGAAUUCAGAAAAAGGUGUACGAUCGUGUUUUGAUACGGUGUGUGGUGAUUGGUACGGAAUUCAUAUGUUAGAAUCAAGUCUUGUAGAGAAAUUUGGAGGUUGGAAUUUGGUUCUAGGGCCUAUUGACUAAAUAAAAGGGAGGACCUUCAGUCCGGCUCGAGCUAACGUGCCCAAUUGGGAUGUGGUGGCAUGGGUAGGUGCAUGAGGUGUUAAACAGUGAUUUUGGACAACUCCGUAGCAGUCCUUAGCACGUUCAAUGACGAACGUAUGUCUAACUGGGGGAGAAUGUUACGACCCGAUCGGUCGUUUUGAGCUCUAGCGUGUCAUUCGGAAGUUUAUGGCUUUGAGUAGCUUCACUUCAGGCAUAUUGACUUGUACGUGUGGCCGAAAUUGAAUUUCGGUAAAUUCAGGAUAGAUUUGGAAAGAAAAUUCUAAUUUCGGAAGCUUUAAGUUGGAAGAAUUGGCUAAGAUUUGACUUUUGAGUAAACGACCUCGGAAUCAGGAUUUGAAGGUUCCAAUAGGUUCGUAUGAUGAUUUCAGACUUGGGCGUAUGUUUGGAUUGAGUAUCGGAUCACCCGAGAGCAUUUCGACGCUUAUUAUGGAAGGUUGGCAUUUUGAAGGAUUAAGAAUUUCCUAAGUUUAAUUUGAAGUAGGCUUUGGUGUUAUCGAUGUCCGUUUGGGAUUCCGAGCUUUGGAAUGGGUUCGUAUUGUGAUUCAUGACUUGUACGCAAAGUUUGGCGUGCAACCCGAUCCAAAUAUAUAUAUCAAUAUUAAUACUGUUACGGCAUGCAAUCCGAUCCAUAUAUGUAAAUAUAAAUACUGUUGUGGUGUACAACCGGAUCCAUAUAUCAAUAUAUAUACCAUUACAGCAUGCAACCCAGUCCAAAUAUAUCAGUUUAUAUGAAAUUAUUCAACAACAACCAAGCAUGGAAAAGUGCACAAGAUAACACCCAGAAAACGAACACGCGGAAUUCAACUAGGAAUUAUAAACUCAAAUAAAGUAUAUAAGAUGGGCAACUCAGUACCCAAGAGUUAGUCUCCCAUAUAUAGUGACAAGCUUCCACAAAGCAUAAGCACAUAACCAAUCUAAUAGUCACUCAAUCCCACUAAGCAUAAAAGAGUAGGACAUGAAAUGAGUAAAGGUAUAUGGCAAGUAAAAAUAGGUAUCAAGUAGAGGCAAUUAAUAAGUGAGAUCAUAUAACAAGUAGGGGCAUGUAGCAAGUAAAGACAUAUAGUAAGUGAAGACAUGUAGUAAGUGAAGGCAUGUGGAAAGUAAAGGCAUAUGACAUGUAAAGUCUGGUAAUAGGUAAAGGCAAGUAAAAGCACGUCGCAAGCAAAUGCAUGAAAUAGGUAAGUACAUGUAACAAUAAUAAAUCAAGUAGAAAGCGUUGAUGUAAUGGUAACAAAUAGAGGGAAAUAGAUCUAUAGUAAUAGACCAAAUAAGAAACAUAGAGGUAAACCAAGUAAAAAAUAUAGACAUGAAAGUAACACUCAAUAUGGAAAACAUAAAUAUAAACCAAGGUAGAGUACAUGUAUGCAUCUACCAAACAAGUAACCAUAACAUAAGGUCCAACUCCCAUCCUCUCCGCACGAAAAAUAACCACGUGCAUGUCACGACCCAAUUCUACCAUAGGUCGUGAUGGCGCCCAACGCUACCGUUAGGUAAGCCAACAGUUAAAUCAACAUGCCUAUAAAUAAUUCAAGACGCAUCUUAAAACAAAUAAUGAAAUAAAUAAGUGGAAUCAUUUCAUUUUCAUAGUAAAAUACUGAUAUUAUCUUAAAUAUUAGAAUCCAGAUAUCAUAACAGAAUACACCCAAAACAAGAAUCUAAAUUCCUAAAACCUGGUGUCACAAGAGCAUGAGCAUCUACUAGAAUUUACAAUACUACUACAACAACUAUCUGGAAUAGAAAAUAGACAAAGUACAGUAAAUGAAUAGGAAGGGGACUCCAUGUGCUGCGGAUCGUAGUAUAUAGAGCAGCACACCACCAAAUCUCCUCAGCAACUGCGCCUACGCGGCGGUAUGACUACCAAACGUACUUGUCUCAGCACCUGCAUAAUUAAUGCAGAGGUAUAGUAUGAGUACGUAAACUAACGCGUACCUAGUAAGUAUCUAGUCUAACCUCGAAGAAGUAGUGACGAAGAGUCGAUAUAGACACUUACUAAUGGUCCAAUAAUCAAAAUAUGAUAAAUGUAGACAGGUAUCAAGCAUAACAUAUAAAAGCAACAAAAAUAGAUAUACGUGCCUAACACGAUCCUCAACAGAAGAGUAGAUACAAAUAUUUAAAUACCGAAUAUUACCUCGAAUGGGACAUGUAUAUGAUCAUUUACAAAUAAAAUGUCAAACCUUAAGUCAGGAAGACUCAUAGGUACACUGACUCUCUAUCGAAUAUCACGCACGAUUCUUCCAAGGUCGUUCGGCCCGAUCCAUAAAAUAGUGUACGUUGCCGAGGUCGUAUGGCCCAAUCUUUGGAUGCAUCUCAUAAUACUGCCGAGGUCGUACGGCCUGAUCCAUAACAAUACUGUUGAGGUGUUCAGCCCGAUCCCGUAUGAAUAGUGAGACUUUGAUGGGUCACUGGCCCAACUCACGAAUAUAUGUGCGAGUUAUGAGAUUCAAGAAACUUUCGGACAAAUAUGCACAACGCAAGAGAAAUCUGUAACAAAAGGUAUAAUUUCUGUGACUACUCACGUAACAUGUCAAGUAUCUACAAUAGCAAAGUUCGAUAUUCUACGCAAGUCUAGUCACAAGCGAAAUACAACUUAAAGCAUCUAAACAGGGAAGAAUAACUAAAGUAAUACAAUUAAAAUAUGGUGUGAGUCUAAGUAUACCCGGAUAUAAUCAAAAAUCUAGUAUACGGACAGACACUCGUCACCUUACACGUGCGUAACUCCCAUAACAUGUAGCACGUAACAAAUAUAGCACUUACAGGGUAAAUUUUCUCUUUCAAGGUUAGGCAGAAGACUUACCUCACUCUGAAAUGUGUUAAUCGUCUCCAACGCCUCUCCAACAUCUCAAACCAAUGCUAAACGAUCCAAAACUAGCCAAAAAAGUGCAAACCAAUCAAAAUAUACUCAAAGACUCAUAAUUUAACAAUUAGAAAUAAAUUUCCAACUCCGCAUGAAAAGUCAACAAAGUCAAUCCUGGGGUCACGUGCCCGGAUUCCUAAAAUUAUCAAAAAUAAAUAUUAUCCAUAAUUUAUAUAGUCUAUAUCCAUAAAAUCAUCCAAUUUCGUCCAUGAAUGACCCUCAAAUCAAAGAUUUAUCAUUUCUCGAUUUUGGGGCUCAAAACCCCAAUUUCUACAAUCCAAACACGGAUAAAAAAUAAUAAUAAAUGGAAAUAAUCAUGGAAAAUAUCAAAAUAAAAGUUAGAUAUUUACCCCCUUGUUGAGACGAGAACAACACCGUGAAAAUCACCUCAAAAUACUAAAAUGCUCGGUUUGCCAAUUUAAAAUACUGCCCAGGUAAUUUUUGUUCAUCGCCUUCAUGGGAUACCAUCACGUUCACGAAGAGCAAUUUUUCACGUUUACCGGUCAAUCCAAAAUUCCUUCUUCGCAUUCGCGGGACUUCCCUCGCAUUCGCAGAAAAUAAAAGUUCGCACCAGAAACCAGCAAUCUUUCCUGAUACGAAAAUGGGCAUAACUCUCUCAUACGACCUCAGAAUUUGACGAUUCUUGUUACUAUGAUACCAUAAUUACGAUAUGGAUCUAUGGUUUAAUCGAAUCACAAAUCAAAGGUCUUUUGCUCAGUAUAGUACCCUUUACGCCAAAAGAAACGACGUCGAAACAUCAUAUAAGAGUGAGACACAAUCCAAACCCAUUCGAAAGUCAUCGGAAUCUAACCAAAAUUUGUGGACAAAUCUAAAAUCAUUAUACAAACUUGUUGAAACUUUUAAAUCAUGAAUCCGAGCUAGUUAAGUCUACUAUUUGACUGUGGUCAAUUCAUUUUCUUAAACUCAACUAGUACGCAACUUAAGUGUCCAAAUCACACUUAAACAUUCUGGAUCAUGAACAAAUGUCACACACAAGUCUCAAUCAACUAAAUGAACCUAUCCAAGGUCCCGGAACACCACCCAGAUUCCGAUAACAUUAAAGUCCACUCCAAGUCAACUUAACAAAUUUAAAAACCUUCAAAAUAUAAACUUCCGACAAUACGCGAUACUCAACCCGAACAUACGGCUAGUCCGAAAUCACCUUACGAACCUAUAAAAAUCUUCAAAUCUUGAUUCCGAUUUAGUUUACUCAAAAGUCAAACUUUGGUCAACUUUUAACUUAAAGCUUUCGAAUUGAGAAUUAUUCUUCCAAAUCAACUCUGAACUUUUCAAAAAUUAAAACCGACUACGCGUGCAAGUCAUAAUACAUAUAGUGAAUCUACUCAAGGUCUUAAACCGCCGAACGACAUGCUAGAGCUCGAAACGACCGGUCGGGUCGUUAUAGUGCCAAUCGUAUUUCAAGCCGCAUGGGAAUAACCAUCAUGUCAACAUCAUAUCAAUCGCACAAAAAUAUCCAUCGUGCCAAAUAUUGCCCUAAGGACCCAAUCAUAGUGUCUUAUUAUGGAUAAAUAAGUUCAAGUAACAUGAAAAUAAAAGGUACAGAUGUGUGUUCAUGAUAUAAGAACUUCUAUGGACAAGUUAAGUAUGUCAACAAUCUCAAAAAUAGCUCAUUGAAUUCCUUUAAGAUGUUAUAUGUUUUAAUAGGAUCUCUAGAAUGGAUAAAUUAACUCAUUUAGUUAUAGAAGUAAAAAAAAAAAGAAUAUGCCAAAAAGUCACAAAGUUCAACAAGACAAAAAGAAGCAUAUCAUUUACCCCGAACAUGGAUAACCCUUGCACAUACAUAAACGCUUGUCACCUCAUACAUCACCCCCGCAUAUAGCAAACAAUAUUAUCUAUUAGGAAAAGAUUUCUCAACAAAACUAGACAAGACGCUUACCUCAAACAAGCCAAAUCAAUACUCUAAAAAUGCUCGCACGACUCGAACUCCAAAUGGCUCGAAUCUAGCCAAAAAGAAAUCAAUAACAUCAAAUAAUGCCAUAGGAAUCAAACACAAAUGAUAAAGGUGGAAUCAACCCAAAAAAUCAACUCGGGCAAGCUUCCCGGAACUCGAAAAAACUCACAAAUCCCAAACACUUAUUCUAAUACGAGUCUAAAUAUACAAGUUUCAUCCAAAUCCGAUUCUGAAUCGGGGUUCAAAUCUCUAUUUUUUUAUCGUAGAAAAGUUUUGCCAAAACCCCCCAAAAUACAUUUUCUUAUCUUUCAAGCCAAACCCCUCUUUUCUUCUUAAGAUUCCUUGAUUUAGAGCCAAAAUCACUGAUAAGUUCAUGUUAUAAUCAUAAAUUCGAGUUAGGUAUACUUAUCCUAAUAAAGUAGAUGAAAACUCCUGAGCUUCAAAACUUUGUGAGAAUAAGUAACUAAAUCCCGAAAUAAGUAAAAAAAAUGCAGUAGUUGUCCCAGCCUGAAUCAGAUGCUAGAUGGUCCCGAAACUCUCAUUUGAUAAGCCCAACCAAAAUUUCUUGCGAGAUUACACCCAAGAUAGCCUUUUGAAUCACCCAAUUUGGCCUUAAAAUGAGGGAGAUAUGAUAUUUUAAAAUUUUAAAGGAAGUCUAAAAAUUUCAAGGACAUAACCGGUAUUUUCGGAAUUGUUGCACCAGAAAAUAAGCAAUCGCAAAAUCUUUGUUUUACCACCCAAAAUUCACUGGGAACCUCCCGGACACAAACCAUAUAUGCAACUCAAUCAUAAAACACGCUACGAACCUUCUCGCGUACUCAAAACACUGAAAAUAGAUCUUUUUGACCUGAUAUUGAUCGUGGUCAAACUCUAAAGUCUUAACUUAACUAGUCUCUCAAACAAUGAUCCAAAAUACAUCCGAGCCCGUCGGGACCCCAUCCAAUCAUACCAAUAAGUAAAAAUACAUUAUUCAAGCUUGUCCAAAAUCUCAAAACACCAACAGGAACAUCACAACAAAAAAUCGAGGCUCAAAUCGAAUAGAAUUUCUUUUAAGUUGUUAAAUCUUUAUUCUUUCAAAAGAGUGUCCAAAUCACACUUAAACACUUCGGAUUACUUUCAAACUUUGCACACAAAUUCAAUUCAAUUAUAUAGACCUAUCCAAAGUCUCAGAACACUAAUUGGAGUCCAAUAAUAUCAAAGUCAACUCUUGGUCAAAUUUAUGAACUCUUAUGUUCUUCAAAUUGCUAACUUUCGGCAAAAAAACCAAAUCAUCCUAGGAACUUUCGAAAUCAAAUUCGAACAUACGUACAACUCCAAAAUCAUCAUAUGAACCUAUCGGGACCAUCAAAACCUGAUUUUGAGGUCGUUUAUCCAAAAGUCAAAGCUUGGUCAACUCUUCCAACUUAAAGCUUCCAAAUUGAGAGUCAUUCUUUCAAUUCAAUCCCGAAGCACUCUAAAAUAAAAACCGACCAUACACACAAGUUAUAAUAUAUUAUAUGAAGAUACUCAAAGUCUCAAACUACCAAACGGAAUGGGAAUGCUCAAAACGAUCGGUAGGGUCAUUACGUUCUCCCCCACUUAAACAUACGUUCGUCCUCGAAUGUGCCAAAAAUCAUUCCAAUGUCAUGAAUUCACUGUUUACUCAUCGUACACAUACUCAUGGGUGAUUCCAUGUCACCACAAGCUAUAUGAGUCCAUUAGCACAAUUUCGACUGAAGAUUUGUUUUCUUCAACCUUAAUCCAUAAGCCUUAUAACCAAAUUCCAACAUUUGGAACUCCUUGUCAGAUCUGGUCCUUGUAUAUAUACAGUAUAUCAAUCUCAACAAGCUGCAUCAAGUCAUAAAUACACUAUCAAUAUCAAACCACACAAUGUACCACAUAAUACAUGUACUCAUAGCAAUAACUUCCGACUAUAAUAGCUGCUUAUUACCAAACCCGGCACCGGUAAUAUACCACAUAUCAAAUAAAGCCAUGUUACAAACCUUCGCAACACUGCUAAUGAUGAAAGAAGCAUACAGAAACUCAUAAUCACCCAUGAAAUUAAUAAGUUGUGGAGUUCUCUCGUCCGACAAGGACCAUUGCCAAAUUCUAAGCUGACUAAUUAUUCUUCCAAACAUAACUUAUUCCAAUCUGAUUGUGCAAUUUCUAGGUCCAAUAACCUCGUCUUACCUAGUACAAGUUGUUCAACUGGAAAGUCUCACUAAAGGCCACAUGGAACCUCAUACAACGCGGUUUGUACCCCAAGCAAGUAAUAACUCUAAUAUAACCAAUUUUGGAAAGAAACAAGAUAAGAGAACUAUCCAACAAGUGCAACUAAUAUAACAACAAAAGCAUAAUUCGAUGAACUCAUCCCACAAAGGGAAAACAAAACACAUGAAAUAAAACACAUAGAAGGGUAUCCCACAAAACUCUGUUGCGGCGCGCAACCUGAUCCCAAAUAUAUCAAUCCACAUAGGGAUACCCAUCGAGCCACAAUGCUCGUGCUUACUAAUCACAUGUGCAUCAACAUCAAGCACGAUAGAGUGGAUAAAUAUAACUGUGGGAAGAUGAAUAGGCAUAAUUCACUACGGAAAAGGUAAGCACGACUAAGGUGGAAUAAUAAAACCAACAUCACAAGAGUCAUCUCGCUUAUAUACUGCCACAUGGCCUAAACAGGUUCAGAACAUCCGUCUGAAUAAUAAAGUAGCCUCACAACCCAUCAUAGUGUAAGAGAGGAGCACAUAACACAGAUCAGGGCAUGAAUAACAUCCAUUCUGGCCGAUGAUACACUCAUGGUAAAAGUUGUGUAAGAGUAAGUAAACGCGAUCCGGUAUGGAAUACACAUCCUUAUUAGGCCAACUAAUAGGCCCCAAAUCAAUUUCGAUCAUCCCAAAAUAGGUAAAUAACCUUCCAAAAGUCCAUAUCACCCUAUACAUGACACAUACCAUCAGUCGUUUAACUCUUAACAUAUCUUCAUAGUCCACAACCAAGGAAUAGUCUACCCUUGAGAAAUCCAAUCUCUAAACCUCAUGAAUACAUGAAUCCCCAUAUCUGAUCCCGGAUCCACCUACUUAAAUUAAUGACACAUCACUCAUCAUCAUCUCACGAAAAAUACCAACAAAAAUCAUCCGUAUCGAGUUUCCAACCUGAACAUCAACAGUUAUCAACCAUGAAGAUACUGAAAUACUAGACAUGCAUAUGCAAAUGUCGUGACCUAAAAUCCCACCAUGAGGGUCGUGAUGGUACCUAGUACCUAAGACUAGAUAAUUCUAUCACAUCAUGAUGCCAAUCAAGAUUUAACAACUUUAGAAUUUAAUAAAAGCUGUAAAAUAUAAUAAUAAUAAAACUGCCAAACAUGAAUAAAAUGAGCAAUUUCCCAAAACCCGGUAAUAUUGAGUCAUAAGCUCUACAUAGAGUGUACAUAAAUCUCAAAAAUACAUCACUGUUUAUAAGAUAUAAAUAGUAGAAAAAGAAAUAGAAUAGGGACUCCGAGGCAUGCGACCGGAACACCAAGUAUACCUUGAAGUCUCCAACAGGUGGACUCCACUCUCUAUCAACCAACACGAUCUGAGGUACCUGGAUGUGCAUAAAAAGUGUGCAGAAGCGUAGUAUGAGUACACCAUAGUCGAUACCCAGUAAGUAUAAAGACUAACCUCGGUGAUGUAGUGACAGGGUUCAAGUCAAGACACUCACUAGUCAAAUAACAUGUGCAAAAUAUCAAAGACUAGCAACAGGAAGAAUAAUAGGAAGCAAUAACUAAAAUCUUAUCAGAACAAGUGAUAGUAAUUUAAUACAAAUAAGGCUCGAUUUCAACAAUAAGUUAUCCAAUAGAAUCGUACACAUAUGGCACCUCGUGCCCACAUUGUCAAUCACCCUCGCACAGCAAAGACCUUGUGCUACAACAUAAGUCACACUUGCACGGGAAAGACCUUGUGCCAAAAUAUAAGUCAUACUUGUACGACAAAGUCCUUGUGCCACAAUAUAAUCCGAUUAUGUAUUAUUUACCAAUUAACAUGUUCACGAGAACUUUUCAAAAAUCAAUAUAGCAAUGCAUGAUAACAAAUUUCUUUUUACUUUAAUCUGUUAUUCUACCAAAAAUAUCAUUAACAAAACACCUCUAAGCUAUCACAUAUCAUCCCCACAAUGCCACCCUUAUCUCACCGCGUGCGCAAUAAUAAAGUAAAUGUUUGCAUUGUCUCGCCACACACUUAUUAACAAAUCAUCUCACCUUGUCUCUCCACAUAUGCAAACCCGAUAUAUAGCCUGCCUUGUCACGCCACAUGUGCAAUAUCAAUAAUAACAAUAGCUGCCUAUUACCAAACCUGAUUCCUGUAAAUUACCGCAUAUCAAAUAAAACCUUGUUCCAAACCUUUACAACACUGAUAAUGAUGUAAGAAACAUGUGGAAAAUCAUAUCCACUCACUCAACCAACAAGUUGUGGACUCCUCUCACCCGACAAGAACCAAUGACAAGCUCUAAGCUAAUUAACGACAUUCUUAUCCAGACAUACCUUAUCCAAGUAUGAUCGCACUAACUCUAGGUCCAAUGAUAUCACCUCAUACAGUACACGCUAUUCGACCGACAAGCCACACCAAAUAUCACCUAGUCACACAUGUCGCAACCCAUACCCAACAAUCACAACUCAAAUAUAACUGAAGAUGGAAAGAGAAACACAUGAGAGAACUAUCCGACAAGUCCUAAAGGUACAACUUCCCAUCAGCACAAUAGUAGGAAUCCAUUCCACAAGGAAGAAGCAAAACACAUGAAAUGACCAUAAAAAAUCUCAUCCUAACAUAACCCCAUCACGGCACGUAGCUCGGUCCAAAAAAACUGAUCCACAUGAAAACACGAGGAUCCCAUCCUCAACUCGGUAUCACAAGUAGGAUAGACAUCCCAUCAACUAAAAACCUUUCAUUAACUCAAUCUCGUAGAACAAAAAUCACAACACACCACGGACCCCCUAUGCCUGUAAAGCACCACUCAUGGCCGAACCAUCCAAAAUCACAUCAAAACCUACCAUAUUAAGUAGCAAAAGGCCAACCCUAGUCUCAUAGCCCUUAAUAGUGACCAUACACGAACGAAUAACAUGAUCCAACACAAUAGAAUCCCUAAUGGGUGUAGACACAUAAACAUGGGUACUCAUGAAUCACGAGGCAUAUCCAAACAUGAAGCAGAAUAGAACGACAUAUACAAAUAAGUAGGGCCCCGAUCAAAUAAAAUUGAUGCAUCUUUAUGACAAACCGGAACAAUACAUGUAAUGACAUCAUAUGGUGCAGCGGCCUCAGUCCUACCAGGGAAAGCAUAACAACGGGCCUGGCCUCCCCCUCUAGGAUGCCCUCUACCCGCCUGUCCCCCUAUCUCUAGCUGGCUGUAUAGGUGUAGCAACAACUGGAGCAGAACCCAUAGCCUGAGUACUCUGCUAAGGUACACCCAUCUGGAGUUUGGGACAAUCUCUCACCAUGUUCCUGAUAUCCCUACAGUCAAAAUAACUUCUCUACUGACGUGGCUGUGGGAACUGUCCGAAACGAGUGCCCUGGGAUCCAUGGAUAACUGGAGCACCACGUGAAGCCUAAAGUGCCGACCGAACUGGCUGACCAACAAAACCUCUACCAUGACGUGCCCUGCCCCUAAAAUAGGGACUAGUAGAUCCUCCAGAUCCACGAGGCUUCUUAGACUCCCUAUCCUCCCUCUCUAGGCCACGGAUACACUCCAACCUCUUAGCGAUCUCCACAAUCUGAUGAAAUGAAGUAUCAGUCCCCAACUCCCAUGCCAUCCCAAAUUUGAGACCAUAACCGAUUCCCUCAAUAAAUCUAUGAACCCUCUCUCUUACAAUGGAAAUUGAAGCAGGUGCAUGACAAAAUAACUCAGCAAAACUCAUAGCAUACUCGGACACAUUCAUAGUCCCUUGGCGCAACUGCUCAAACUCGGUGUGCAACACAUCCCUGAAGGUCUGUCAAACGAACUCCCUAAAAAAGAGAUCACUCAACUAAGCCCAAGUAACUGGCGCUGCAUCAGUUGGCCUACUCUCCUCAUAAGCUUGCUACCAUCUAUAUGCCGCCCCUGUCAGCUAGAAAGUAGUAAGGUCUAAACCAUGUACAUCCUCAGAAGUUGCGCCAUUAAAAGUAGAAGUAAAAUACUUCUUGAACCUCUCUAACCUCGUCUGCUCCUCCUCUAACACCACUGGCCUGACCUCAAGUUGAACCGCAAUCAUGGGCUGCACCGAUCUAACACCCGGAGCAUCAUGAACAUGAGCCCGCUGAUCUGGAGUAUGUGUAGCGAGAGUAUUGACCCCUCCCCCAACUUUGAAGUAGCUGGUGUAACCGGGAUCAACCCCGCCUGAGCCAAGGUACCAAACAUGCUUAGAAAAUGCGCCAAAGUCUCCUGAAGUCUAGGGGUAGCAACAGGUGCCUCGGGUGCCUGAUUGCUCCUCAACCGGAGCUACUGGUGGCUCCUCGGUCGCGGCCCUAGCACGGCCCCUCGCAACAACACAUGCUCUGCCUCUGCCUCGGCCCCUGCCCCAGCCUCUAGCAAUACUGGACAUGGGGGCAGCAUCAUCACUAAUUAUAGCUCGUGUCCUCACAAUCUGUGAGAGAAUAGAAGAACAAAGGCUCAAACUCCAAAAUGAAUAAAUCUGCACGAUGAGAAAUGAAAGAAGUGGAAUUUCCUAACAGCUUCGUAGCCUCUCGAAGAUAAUUACAAACGUCUUCGUAUUGAUCCGUGAAACUCUACUAAACUUGCUUAUGACUUAUAGAAUCUAUGAAGCUAGAGUUCUGAUACCAACUUGUCACGACUCAAAAUCCCACCGUGAGGGUCGAGAUGGGACCUAGUACCUAAGCCUAGGUAAGCCUAUCAUAUCACGAUGCGAAUCAGAAUUUAAAUUGGUAUAUAAUAAAAUUUAAGUUAGAAUUUAAUAAAAGCUGUGAAAUAUAAUAAAAUUACCAAUCAUCAAUAAAAUGAACAAUUUCCUAAAACCCGAUAAUACUGAGUCAUAAGCUCAACAUAGAGUUUACAUGAAAUCUCAAAAAUACAUCAUUGUUUAGAAGACAUAAAUAGUAGAAAAAGAAAUAAAAUGGGGACUCCGAUGCCUGCGAGCAGAACAACAGGUAUACCUUAAAGUCUUAAACAGCUCGACUCCACUCUCUAUCAACCAGCGCGAUCUGAGGUACCUGGAUCUGCACAAAGAAUGUGCAGAAACGUAGUAUGAGUACACCACAGUCAGUACCCAGCAAGUAUAAAAACUAACCUCGGUAGAGUAGUGACGAGGUUCAAGUCAAGACAUUCACUAGUCAAAUAACCUGUGCAAAUAUCAAAGACUAGCAACAAGAAGAAUAACAGGAAGCAAUAACUAAAAUCUUAUCAGAACAAGUGAUAACAAUUUAAUACGGAUAAGGCUUGAUUUCAACAACAAGUCAUCCAAUAGAAUCAUACACAUAUGGCACCUCGUGCCCACAUUGUCAAUCACCCUCACAUGGCAAAGACCUCGUGCCACAACAUAAGUCACACUUGCACGGCAAAGACCUCGUGCCACAAUAUAAUUGAUUCCUUAUCAUUUGCCAAUUAACAUGUUCACGAGAACUUUUCAAUAAUCAAUAUAGUAAUGCACGAUAAAAUUUUUCUUUUUACUUCAAUCUGUUAUGCUACCAACAACUCGACAGAAUAUGAGAUGAUAACUCCAUGUAAGUAAAUCCAGCUUGGCAACCAAAUCAUCAAGUAAUAACAGAGGCACAAUUUAGCAUAUAGGAACAACGCAACGAAAUAUGUAAAAAUGCAUGAUACACAUAAAGAAUUCAUAAGCACAAACAAGAAUGUCCAUAUACAACACCACACAAACAUCAUCAACAAAACACCCGAGGCUAUCACAUAUCAUCCCCACAAUAUCAUCCUUAUCUCACCGCAUGUGUAACAAUAAAGUAAAUGCAUGCCUUGUCUCUCCACACGUGUAUUUACAAAUCAUCCAACCUUGUCUCGUCACAUGUGCAAACCCAAUAUAUAGCCCACCUUGUCACUCCACAUGUGCAAUAUCAAAAAAUAACAAUAACACGGCAGAAAUCUCAUCCAAACACCCGAACAAUCUGCCCGACAAGUCCACAUGUGCCACAAUUAUAACAAUAUAGCAUGCCAACAAUUGUCACCAAGACAUAAAUUCAUAAUCCGCCAAUGCAAAUUACAAGAACAAUUCAACAAGAAAAUGUGGAUGGGUGUUCAACAUAUAAGCAUGAAAGCCAACUCAAUCAGUAACAAUCUUACAAAUGCACAACUUAUCCAACUUAGGAAAUAAAAUCCUAAAACAUGAUGGAUUCAAGUAAUUAUCCAAAGCGAAAAACACGUAGUACAGGGACCUCUCAAUCAAAACAAGGCAAUAAAAGUAACCUUUGGUCAAAUUUGGUUAAAAGGCACACAUGCGUCCGUGUAUACACUUGUCACCUCGUAUACACGUCGUUUACAUAUAACAUAAAUAAACAAUUAAGUCAAAUCCUAAAGGGUAAUCCCCCCACACAAAGUUAGGCAAAAAGACUUACCUCGAAUUUCCCAAAUCAACACUCAUAAUAGGUGUUCCUUUAAAAUUCACCUCUGUUCGGCCCAAAUCUAGCCUAAAACGACUUAAUAGAAUCAACCAAUGCAAUAGAAUUCAAUUUCAACUAAUAAAGUUAAGAUCAUUACACAAUUCUAUCAACAAAAGUCAAUCCCGGGCUCGCCUAGUCAAACGGUAGAUCUUGACUAAUGCGACAUAAUGUAUGCAAAUGUGAACCAGGAAGGCAUCGCAAAAGAGGAAAGAAGAAUGCAAUUGCGGCCUACUCUAGCCCCAGUUUCCCAUUGCAAAUAUGAUCCAGGCAUCGCAAAUGCGAAGCCUGACAUCCCUGCCAACAUCCGCAAAUGCAACACUGGCUCCGCAAAUGCGAAGCCAGUCUACUUAGGCAACAAAUAGCAAAUGCAAUGCACACCUCGAAAAUGCGAGGUCCUCAAAUGUGAAUAUGAUCUCGCAUUUGCGAGACCUAAGCAUCAGCCAUGAACCAGCAAAUCUGAAACUCAACUCAAAUAAUCCGAAACUCGUCUAAAACUUUCCCGAGCCUCUGGGGCUCCACACCAAACAUCCAUACAAAUCUAGAAACAUUAUAAGAACUCGCUCGUGAUCUCAAGAUACCAAAAUAACAUCCGGAACCAUGAAUCGGACACCAAAACACAUAGAAUUCAAAAAUGAGACUCAAGAAUAGCUAAAAUCACAACCAAGCAUCUAAUUCCUACCAAACCAACUCGGAAUGACACCAAACUUUGCAUACAAGUCACAAAUGACAAAACGGACCUAUUCCAAGUAUCGAAACCAAAAUUCGAACCUAAUAGUCACAAAGUCAACCUAUGAUCAAACUUUGGAAAUUUCUAAACCUUCAAAUUGUCCAUUUUCGGCAAAAAGAGCCAAAUUAACCUAAGGACCUCCAAAUCCAACUACGGACAUACACCUAAGUCCAAAAUCACCAUAUGAACCUAUUGGAACCAUCAAAACAUCGUUCUAGGGUCAUCUUCACAAAAGUCAAUCCUCAGUCAAUAUUUUCAACUUUAGUUUCCAAACUAAGAACCAAGUAUUCUAAAUCAAUCCAAAACCUCACCGAAACGAAACCAACAAUCCCCGCAAGUCUUAAAACCACAAAUACAAAUACAAAUACGGGACACUUUAAAAGGGGAAACGAGUCUCAUAUACACAAAACGACUUGUCGGGUUGUUACAAUGAAUCAAUACACAAUGUGCCUUCCACAACACACACUCUUCUCAAGCGAUACAAGAUAGUGCUAAAAUUCUCUAAAAACAUCUGAAAUCUCCCAUGUUAUCUAAAUCUCGUAACCUUCCUUUAAAGGUUGAACCUCAACCUUGCCCAUACAAUCUCAAUCCCACAUGGCAUAUCACAUCUAUCAUGCUAACACAAGAAGGUGCGAGAAAAUCAAUUCUGAAUCACGAGUAGGAUAUACACUCGAUUAACCAAGAAUCUUCCAUUUAACUCAAUCCAGGAGAACAUCACAACACAGAACUACCCUUCUAUUCAUGUGGAAGAUAUCAACCCCUAGUUGUGGUCAAACCUUUAUGAACUCUUCGAAACCCACUAGAACCAUUCUUGAGUGUCACUCACUCUGACCAAGUCUCUAAUGCAUAGCCCAAAUGUGUUGAGCAACUAGCAUUUCGCUAGCACACGAAUACCCCAAAAGAAGCAACUGAGAAAUCCCCCUUCCUUGCGCACUACACCCAUAAUGAAUAUCAAACCUAAACCACUUUGCAACCCCCAUAUAUCCAUAAGGUGUAAUAUAUCAUGCAUCCAGUGAGUCCCUAGAAAAUAUCAUCCUCGAUGACACCCUUCUCAUAUUGCAUCCAAUCCACAGUGCAUCCAAGUCCAAGGCUAUAGCAACUCAUGCCCAAAUGACUCGAUCAUUGAUGGUAAGCUCCUCCACUUAGAGUGGAGCCACAAACACAUCAUCUAAUAACCCACAAUACUUCUUUUUUCUAUAUUGUCAUGACCUCGGGUCGUUAUCCAGCUGAGUACUUCAUAAGUUCAUGUAACAUUAGUCAAAAAACACUCCAAAGACUCUGCCAAGUGCAUACUCAUCCUCGUGACAGUUGUGCGAACAUCUUCAAGAUAUUCGAACUCUGAUCGUAACACAUACAUCUCACUAAGUGGAAAGAAAACUCUUCAUAGAAUCCCUCAUAAGAUUCACAUAACCUCAAACCUUCUUGCAAGAGAUAACUCACCUGCUUAGCCUCCAACCGACAUCUCUCUAUGACCUUAACAUGGUCACAACCACUAUGCAAUCAAUUAAUCUUCUCGAGUCUACACUCGUCAACAAGAUAUAAGAAUCCACUCCAUCCCACAAAUAAACAACUGAAAGAUCCACCAACACCUCCACAUCUCAAAAUUAUACAACACAUCAAGACAAUGUUCAAGCAUCGAUAGUCCUUCGUAUCCCAUCCAAAAAAUCACAAGUCGUCGGUGGACACUGAUAUUGAGUUCUUAACAUCUCAUACGGACGGAUGGGAAUGAAUUGAAGAUACAGGCUUCAGGCUGAAACAAGGUCGCAUGAUAAGGAGAGAAUGAAGUGAAGUUUCCUAGAUUCGAAGAUCGGUGUUGCGUCCUAUUUUGCACAGUUCAAAACUAAAUACAACUUGUGAUUUCCCUGAAGUUGAUAAAUAAGAGUCUCCACUAAAUAUUUAAAGGUAUACUAGCGUACCUAUAAAUCUAUAAAGAUCAUUAUCUUAAAGGUCUACUAAACCAGUGAGAAUCUAGAUAAGGGUUCUAGUUAUUUUAAGGGGGAGGUAUUAGGCAUCUCUCAAGAUCUAUCUAAGAUAGUUCCUUAAACUUAAGCUAGAUACGGGGAAGAAUUGCCUAUAUUCUAGUUGAUCAAUUAUUCAAGUUGCUAAGUAGGCCUCUAUGAAAGUCUUGAAUGAAUGAGGAAGCAUUUUAAUUCUUAUUUGAAAACUCAUUUCUUUUGUUUUGAGAAAAAGAUUUAUAUCCCCUUUAGAAAUAGUAAUACUCGUUUAAAAACCCAUGUGAUAUGUCUUGCAAAAUAAGGGAUUGUUUCAAAAUAAUGCAUAUAUGUUAACGUGAGUAUACAUCGAAACAGGUAUACCUUUUUUGUUUAUUUGAAGGUUGUUUUGGCAGAAAUCAAUAUAUUUUCCAAAGGUUGUUUGGUCUAGUUCUUGUAAAAUCGAAUCCGGCUGUGUAUUGCGCAAUUGCUUCUUUUAUUUUAAAAAUUCAGACGUCAAGCUGCCUAAUGUAACGACUCGGCCGGUCAUUUUGAGUAUUACAGCCUUGUUCCCCCAUUUACUGCUUAUCAUGUGUUCAAUUAUAAUUAUGUGACUCGUCGGAGAGGGUUCAGAAUGAAUUGGAACACUUAGUUCCAAGAUUUAAAACUUAAGUUGAAAUAGUUGAUCCGAUAUUGACUAUGUUUAAACGACUCCGGAAUAGAGUUUUGAUGAUUUCAAUAGUUUCGUAUGGUGAUUUUGGAUUUGGAAGCGUGUCCGAAUUUUUUUUUGAAAUUCCGUAGUUAAAUUAUGAUUGAAUUAGCUAAAAUAGAAAUUUAAGUUUUGAAGUUUAACCAGGGAAUUGACUUUUUGAUAUCGGGGUCGAAAUCCAAUUCGAAAAAUUGGACUACGUCCGUUAUGUUAUUUAUGACUUGUGUGCAAAUUUUGAAGUCAAUCGGACUUGAUUUGAUAGGUUCCGACAUCGAAUGUAGAAGUUGGAAUUUCUUGGUUUCAUUAGGCUUGAAUUGGGGUGCAAUUAGUGUUUUUAGCGUUAUUUGAUGUGAUUUGAAGCCUCGACUAAGUUCGUAUGAUGUUUUAGGACUUGUUGGUAUAUUUGGUUAGGGUCCCGAGGGUCUCGGGUGUGUUUCGGGUAUGUUUCGGGUGUUAUCGGAUCAUUUUGGGCUACUUUGAAUGCUGGUUUUCUAAUGUCUGGUGUUGUUCUUCGCGUUCGCGAGGAGCCUCUCGCGUUCGCGAAGAAGGAUUUUGCUACUGGGACUUUGUUCUUCGCGUUCGCGAAGAGACUCUCGCGUUCGCAAAGGAAUUCCUGUUGUAAAAAUUCUUAAACCUUCAAAAUGCCAACCUUUCAUAAUAAGCACCGAAAUGCACCAGGGUGAUCCGAUACUCAAUCCGAUCAUACGUCCAAGUCCGAAAUCAUUAUACAAACCUAUUGGAACCUUCAAAUCCUGAUUCCGAGGUCGUUUACUCAAAAGUCACUUCUUAGCCAAUUCUUCCAACUUAAAACUUACGAAAUUAGAAUUUUCUUUCCAAAUCCAUCCCGAAUUUCCCGAAAUUUAAUUCUGGCCACAGGUACAAGUCAAUACACCUGAAGUGAAGCUACUCAAAACCUCAAACCGCAGAACGGCGCGCUAGAGCUUAAAACGACCGGUCGGAUCGUUACACAAACAAUCAGGAAUAUUCUUUGAAGUUGUAUAUCUCACUUUUAAGGAUAUUAGUGAAGAUUAGAAUUGAUUUUGGAUGAAUUUUCAUAUUGAAACUCGAAGAUAUAUUAGAGUUGUAUGAAAUGUAUCAAAACUGUACUUAGUUGUAUCCGGUUGUAGUUAUAUUCUUUUAUGAAUAUCGUAUGAGAGUUAUAAAUAAGCCGUAUAUUGUAUGAUCGUUGUAUAAAAUUUGUAUUUAAGUUAUAAAUACUCUCUUUAUGGUAAUAGUUGCUGCUGUAACAAACUGUAUUAUUUUUACUUUGCUCAAUUCGUGGUCAAUCACUCCUGAAAUUGCUUGAAUUAAGAACCUUUCCUGCUUAAGUUCAUGUCAUGUUGGCAAAGAGUACGAGUACAUGAUCACGGGAGAAACAAUAGAUGGAAACGUCUUAAGAAAUUGAGAAAACUAUGGGUUCACUAUAGCUUAUAUACAAAUUUUAUAUAAUUAUUCAUACAAUAUAUAAUUUAUUUACAACCUUCAUAUAACAUUCAUACAAAAGCAAUAUAACUAUAAUAAAAUACAACUGAAAUACAAUUUUCAUACAACUUUAAUAUAAUUUUGAUACAUAUAUAUAACUUUACGUAAAAAAGAGUAUUUAUAGCUUAAAUACAUUUUUUCGUACAACGAUUCAUGCAACAUAUAACUUGUUUUCAACUUUCAUAAAAUAUUCAAAACAAAAAAAAAUAUAUAACUAAAACAGAAUACAAUUUAAAUACAAUUUACAUAUAACUAUAAUACAACUUUAACGUGUCUUCUUAUUCGAGUUACAAUAUGAAAAUCCAUCAAAAAUCAACUCUAAUAUACACCAAACACUCCCAAAACUGAUAUAUAAACCGAAUAUUCUCAAUCGUUUGCAACAACACCCAAUCUAAAAUAAUAAUACUUGUAAAAAAUCUAAAUUCAAAUUCAAAACUUCAAAACAUUUUGAUGGCUGUCAAUGGCCGGCAUAGUAGCUGUUGGUGGACGACUGGCCGAUGAGUUUUUCUUCCAGUGACGUUUCUAGGCCGAAUGUUCGGAGAACUGAGAUAAGAUAUUUACUGUUAAGGUGGACUCCCAAACCAAAUCGAUUGAAAUCAAAGAGUUUUGGAUGGUGGCCUGUAUGAGGCAUCGAUCCAAAUCGGCAUUAACAAGCAGGAGAGGUUCAUCCUCUUGGUGAAGAUCUUCGACUUCUUUGAUAGAUUCCUGGAAAUAUGUGGGGCAGAGAGUGUAGCGAUAGCGAUUAUAGGGUUGCUGGGAAGAAGCACUAAUCACGGUAGUAAAUAGGGCAUUAUUCAGCCGAAAUAUAUAGAAAUUGUAAAAAAAAACUCAGUUACCUUUGAUAAAUACAAAAUUUGGGUAAUCUAUCUAUCUAUAUAUCUAUCAUCAUAUCAUAUCAUAUUAUCUAUCUAUCUAUACUAUAUUAAAAGCACGAAGACCCUUAGCGAAAUGUCGUUCGCCUUUUUUAUCCUUUAAAAAAUAAACUUCAUACUAGACAAAAUAGUCAUUUAAUUAUUUUUCUAAAAUUUAGGACUUUGAAAUCAAUUAAAAUUCUACAUAUUAUAUCUUUCCUUAUUUGAAAUUAUAUGUAAUUAGUCCUAACUCACGCAUGUUAUGAGUCAAAAAAAGUUUUUUUUUUUUUGGAGAAGAAAACUUAAGUUUUAAAAGAUAGCAAUUUGCUUUGUUGACCAAUAAAAGAUAUCAUCAUUUAAUUAUUUGCUAAUUUUAAUAGAAAAUAUAUCCAACUUUAGACAAAAUCAAUUGUAAACAAAACGUCAUUAAGUUUUUCUCCAAUUAUUCCAACAAAUGACAACAUUCUACAUUUUUUCUAUAACUUUAACUAUUUAUUAUAAAAUAUUAAAUCAACAUUAGUCAUUUAUGGACUUUACAUUGUCAUUUAUCAAUUUUUUAUGAGCUAUAAGACAACAUCUUCAUUCCCGGAAGACUAACAGAAUUAAUUUGUCAAUUUAUUUUAUAUAACAAAUCUUAAUAAAAUUAUUUUUAUGUUAUUAGUUAUAUAUAUAUAUAUAUAUAUAUAUAUAUCAUAAAAUAACAAUAAUUUUCAUAAGAUAUUUCCAUAUAAGUACGCAUAAUUCACAAUAAGGUAUCCGAUUACUUUUAUGAUCAGGAUUUCUUUCGCUUGCUGGGAUCAUCAGUCGUCUUUUAUCAAACUUAGAGAAAACUCAAUUUUUUAAAAAUAAAAAUAUUCUAUUUAAAAAGGAAACUCUAACUUUUGUUAUGGGAAAUUUUAGUUGAUUACCAAACGAAAUUAGGAAUUUUUUUAUACCCUUUUUAUCUAUAUGUUUAAUUGUAAAAAUAUUAUGCUUUUACUUUGAACACAAUUCAAUUUCUUCUUAAAAAGUUCCAAAUUUAUUUUUAAUUUCAUAUAAGAAAAGUUAUAUUAAAAGUGGGAAGGUCUAUGUCAAAACUUGAAUUAUUAAACUACCCAUCAAAGACUAAUUAACCAUUUUGUUUUCAUCCAAAAGUGGAAUUACCUCCCAUUUAUUGUUAUGCAUCAUUAAACCCUUAAUUAA